rnacentral:rRNA from 1 species
GACGGAGGGGGCUAGCGUUGUUCGGAAUUACUGGGCGUAAAGCGCGCGUAGGCGGCCGGUCAAGUUAGGCGUGAAAGGCCUGGGCUCAACCUGGGAACGGCGCUUAAGACUGAUCGGCUGGAGUCCGGGAGAGGGUGGUGGAAUUCCCAGUGUAGAGGUGAAAUGCGUAGAUAUCGGGAGGAACACCAGUGGCGAAAGCGGCUACCUGGCCCACUCUUGACGCUGAGGCGCGAAAGCUAGGGGAGCAAACGGG